CUUACGCCCUCCUCGGUCGCUCACCCGCGGGAAGGGAUGGUUCGGGCUUGCCAUCGCCGAGGCGGGAGAAGAUGAAGCCGCGGCGCGGUGCCCCCCUGCCGCCGGAGCCGGAGCGCGCUGCCCCGGGUGCGCUGAGGGGCCGCGCCGCCGCCGCCGCUCCCGCCGCCAGGUGAAGCCAGCGCAGCACGGCCGGGAAAAGGGGCAGCGGUUCUCCUGCCUCGCUGGUGGGUCGAGUACUUAGAAGCGGCUCCCAGCCUUCCUCCCGCCCCCCCUCCCCCCCCUCGCAGGACCACAUACCGCUGGAGCACUGAAUUGGGACAUUGUAUGCCGGAGCCUGGCUUGAAUCUCUAUACGGUCGGGUGUAUGUGGUUGCUGGAAGUGGCAGGCCAGCAGGCCCCGAAGCGAGCAGGUGCUAGCUAUAUGGAGAAAAGCGGCUGUAGCCCAUUCCCGAUAUGCUGGGCUAAAGAAUAUGACAGAUACCUAGCAUCCAGCAAAACCAUGGCAGCAGCUUACCUUGAUCCAAACUUGAAUCAUACACCAAGUUCAAGUGCAAAGACGCACCUCAGUACUGGGAUGGAGCGUUCCCCGGGGGCCAUGGAACGAGUCUUAAAGGUUUUUCACUACUUUGAAAAUAGCAGUGAACCAACAACAUGGGCCAGCAUUAUCCGUCAUGGAGAUGCAACUGAUGUCCGAGGCAUAAUUCAGAAGAUUGUGGACAGUCAUAAAGUGAAAAAUGUGGCCUGCUAUGGGUUACGGCUCAGUCAUCUGCAGUCUGAGGAGGUUCACUGGCUACACCUGGACAUGGGGGUGUCCAAUGUGAGAGAGAAAUUUGAACUAGCCCACCCUCCAGAAGAAUGGAAAUAUGAAUUGAGAAUUCGGUAUUUGCCAAAAGGAUUUCUAAACCAGUUCACUGAGGACAAGCCAACUCUAAAUUUUUUCUAUCAACAGGUGAAAAACGACUAUAUGUUAGAAAUAGCAGAUCAAGUGGACCAAGAAAUUGCUUUGAAACUAGGUUGCCUUGAAAUCCGGAGAUCCUACGGAGAGAUGAGAGGCAAUGCAUUAGAAAAGAAGUCCAACUAUGAAGUGUUAGAGAAAGAUGUUGGUUUAAGACGUUUUUUUCCGAAGAGUUUACUAGAUUCGGUGAAGGCCAAAACACUACGAAAAUUAAUCCAACAAACAUUUCGACAAUUUGCCAACCUUAAUAGAGAAGAAAGUAUUCUGAAAUUCUUUGAGAUCCUCUCUCCAGUGUACAGAUUUGACAAGGAAUGCUUCAAGUGUGCUCUCGGUUCAAGCUGGAUUAUUUCAGUGGAACUGGCAAUUGGCCCAGAAGAAGGAAUCAGUUACCUUACAGACAAGGGUGCAAAUCCAACUCAUCUAGCAGACUUUAAUCAAGUGCAAACUAUUCAGUAUUCAAACAGUGAAGACAAGGACAGAAAAGGCAUGUUGCAGCUCAAGAUAGCAGGUGCACCUGAGCCUCUGACAGUGACAGCACCAUCCUUAACCAUUGCAGAGAAUAUGGCUGACUUGAUAGACGGAUAUUGCCGACUGGUGAAUGGAGCUACGCAAUCUUUUAUUAUCAGGCCACAGAAAGAAGGUGAAAGAGCUUUACCAUCAAUACCAAAGCUGGCCAACAAUGAGAAGCAAGGAGUAAGGUCACACACAGUCUCUGUGUCAGGAGUCAGUCACUGUCAGCAUAAAGUAAAGAAAGCUAGACGCUUUCUCCCUUUCGUCUUCUGUUCCCAUGAGUCGCCGCCUAAGGAUGAAAUUAGUGGGGACGAGACAGAUGACUAUGCAGAGAUUAUAGAUGAAGAAGAUACUUACACAAUGCCAUCAAAAAGCUAUGGAAUAGAUGAAGCCAGAGAUUAUGAAAUUCAAAGGGAGAGAAUUGAACUGGGGCGCUGCAUUGGUGAAGGACAGUUUGGAGAUGUACACCAAGGAGUUUACAUGAGUCCGGAAAAUCCAGCUAUGGCUGUUGCAAUCAAAACAUGUAAAAACUGCACCUCAGACAGCGUUAGAGAAAAAUUUUUACAAGAAGCCUUAACAAUGCGUCAGUUUGAUCAUCCUCAUAUUGUGAAGCUCAUUGGAGUUAUUACAGAAAACCCAGUCUGGAUAAUCAUGGAACUCUGUACGCUUGGGGAGUUGAGAUCGUUUUUACAAGUAAGAAAAUACAGCUUGGAUCUGGCCUCUCUGAUACUCUAUGCUUACCAGCUUAGCACAGCACUUGCCUACUUAGAGAGCAAAAGAUUUGUACAUAGGGAUAUUGCUGCUAGAAAUGUGCUGGUGUCUGCCACUGACUGUGUGAAAUUAGGUGACUUUGGUUUAUCCCGAUACAUGGAGGACAGUACUUACUAUAAAGCUUCCAAAGGAAAAUUACCUAUCAAAUGGAUGGCUCCAGAGUCAAUCAACUUCCGACGAUUUACCUCAGCUAGUGAUGUGUGGAUGUUUGGUGUGUGUAUGUGGGAGAUCCUAAUGCAUGGGGUAAAGCCCUUCCAGGGAGUGAAGAACAAUGAUGUGAUUGGGCGAAUUGAGAACGGUGAGCGGCUCCCAAUGCCUCCAAACUGCCCUCCUACCCUCUACAGCCUUAUGACCAAGUGCUGGGCAUACGACCCUAGUAGACGACCCAGGUUUACUGAACUUAAAGCACAACUCAGUACAAUACUGGAAGAAGAGAAGCUGCAGCAAGAAGAACGAAUGAGAAUGGAAUCCAGGCGACAAGUCACUGUAUCCUGGGACUCAGGAGGAUCAGAUGAAGCUCCUCCCAAGCCCAGUAGACCUGGUUACCCCAGUCCGAGAUCCAGUGAAGGGUUUUAUCCGAGUCCACAGCAUAUGGUACAGCCAAAUCAUUAUCAGGUGUCUGGCUACCCUGGUUCUCAUGGGAUACCAGCCAUGGCAGGCAGCAUUUAUCCUGGGCAGGCUGCUCUCUUGGAUCAAGCAGAUUCCUGGAACCAUCGGCCUCAGGAAAUACCAGUGUGGCAGCCAAACAUGGAGGAUACAGGCACUUUGGACAUACGAGGAAUGGGCCAGGUUCUACCCACACAUCUUAUGGAGGAGAGAUUGAUACGACAACAACAAGAGAUGGAAGAAGAUCAGCGCUGGCUUGAAAAAGAGGAACGGUUCCUGAAGCCUGAUGUGCGGCUCUCCAGAGGCAGCAUCGACCGAGAGGAUGGAGGUCUCCAGGGCCCAGCUGGUAACCAGCACAUAUAUCAGCCUGUGGGUAAACCAGAUCACGCAGCUCCACCAAAGAAACCUCCCCGCCCUGGAGCCCCCAGCCAUUUGGGCAGCCUUGCAAGCCUGAACAGCCCUGUGGACAGCUACAACGAAGGCGUGAAGGUACAUUGCUCAGUGCCACAUGAAAUAUGCCUCAGAAAAUUAAACAUUACCACUCUUCAGUUAGUUUGCUGUUCCUUAAGUAGAGACCGUGGAAAGCAAAAGCAACUAAACUUCCCAAGUAAAUGUUGUCAUGGGGCAAAUAUGCACUGGCAGCUCUCCAGGGAGGUGGGGAGUUAACCGGUAGGCUCAUAUCCUCCAUUACUGUGAUUCAGCAUGUUCCUCACCUAGAACCUUUCCCAGGUGAGCAUAUUUCUAGUUUGAAGAGCAUACGAUAUGAGGUCUCCUGUAUGGACUCAGCUACCUGCUCAGCAGCUCUGUUAAGCAGGAAGGAGCGCACCUAGGGUUUCCAGUUACUCUGGUAGUACCAAAGUCUCCUAUACUUGGUGACAGAGAAGUGAGACAUGUCUGAACUGUGGUGCUCAAAAAGCUCUUGCUGGAGCACCGAGGUGCCUAAAACCCUCCUGGCUCUGGGGAACAAGGGAAGAGGGGAACUGGACCGUCUGACCUGUGACUGAGAUACUUUCCAAUGUGUUGUUUGAUCUCUAGUAAAUAGGUAAUACAGCCAAAAAUGAAACUUUAGUUUUCUAGCAGAAAUGCUGCAGGAUGCUGUGAAACACAACGUCAUGUCCCUAUUGCAGCUGGUGCCAAGGGAAGUGCUUCUUAGGAUGUCAGUCACAUCUAAAAUCUUGCCUUUCGUGUUGUUCCCUGCCUUUGGGACUCCAGUACCUCUUCAGGAAACAGAAACCCAAGUGACCUCAGAGCCUCCGGAGGGGAUCCAGUGGAGCUAUUUCUGAUGCUAGGAGUUUCCAGCAGCUAGGUAGAAUAGUGAUUGGGAAUUCUCUGUCAGUAAUACUUUUAACAGAAGUUAAGAGUAUUUAAGUUAAGAGUAUUAAGCUGCACUUCUGUUAGAAGUGCAGCUGAUCUAUACACAUCGCUGUUUUAUUAUUUCACAACCUUUGCAGCCAGGCAAAUACCUCCACAAAGACUGCUGGUCUGAUGGCGGUAUUACUGACCAGAGCGUUAAAAGCAGGAUCACUCCUGCCGCUGCUCUCAUUCUGUCAGUUGAUGCCAUCAGUAGCACCCCAGGAGGUGAUGUAUUUAUGUGCCAGCUGUUUCCUGAGAGAAGAAAGAUCAGGUCUCCAUCAGAGCACAGGCUUUGCAGAUACACUGCGGCAAUCCCUGCUGUAAAUACAACAGUUAGUGCUAAUAGUACAGCUCCUCACAGAAGUAGAACCUCUGGCUAUUCUAAGCCUUGCCAAGCCUGUAGUAAAGAACAGGAAUCCAUGUUGUGGUAAGUGCGGCUGUUGUGAUAAGCCACUUACCUGAUCGAUCUCACUAAUCGAUCUCAGUCACCACCUGCCUGUCACUCUUGCUCUCGUUCUGAGAUUACCAGAAUAUUUAAGAAUUCAGUGUAAAUAGACAGCAGUGGCCAAUUUGAGCAGGAUUAUUUAUUAUAAACUGAUGCCAGUGCCUUUCAAGCUGCCAAGCCUCAGAAAAUGCAAAAAGCAGUAACAGAUGUGUACUAAACUUGGCUUCUCUAAAAUUUACUUUCUAAAUGCUGAUACUGGAACGUGAAAGAUGUUUUCUGAAAUAUAUCCUUUUCACAACAAACCAACCUUGAGCAGCCAAAAAUCAUCAGUAAUAACAAGUGAACAAGAUUCUUGUACUAAAUAGCUUCUUCAGUAGAAAAGACAGAUUGAUUUUGGUUUUCUGUCAAGAGUUUCUUGAAAUUGGAUUGUUUUAUGCUCCUUCAAGAAAACAGCCCAUUAUUUUUUGAUAGCGUAUAGCUUUGUUAAUGUCUGCAGUCCUAAACUGAAGACGCUUCUGAGGCUCUCAUUUCAGACUUGCCAUUUCAGUCUCCCUUUUCUGCAGAAUACAAAUUAAGAGAAUUUGAACUGCUUGCCCUCAGGAGCCUUUAGGGCAUGCGUCAGGAAAUACAUGGGUUUGUGGUACUUGCUGAGGCAAAGCCGCCCAGUCGACACAAAGCAACUCCUGAUUUCUUAGUCUGCAGAGCGGUAGUGUUGAUGUUGGGUAUAAACAAAAAAAAAAAAAAAGGAGUGUUAAGAAAUGCAGGUGUCCGUGCUCUUGAAAUGUCAGGGCCUGGCUGUAGAAAUUAGGUGGCUCAUCUAGACUGGGUUCUUGAUAGUUCUUAACCACAACUGUGAUUAGUCAUCACAGACAGGAGCUGCACAGUUAGAGGACUGUGUAUUUCCUCCUAUCAUGAUUUUUUUCAAGAACAAGAAAUUUUCAAGGAGAUAAAUAAAUUUUCUUCAGUCUAUUGAAUACUGGAUUGUUUGCACAGGACAUGUUGUUUCCCACCAUUGCAGAGGCCCUCUACUCCAUUCACCACUUUGCUGCUCGCCAGACUGGCUUGCUCCUGUCAAGCUUUGCAUGAUCUCUUCCCCAUGUGUUUAGUAAAAAGUAAGCAUGGGUGCAUGGCAAAUACCUCCACUUCCUACGCGGUGCACAGCAGGUUGUCAGCACACGGUGCUUCUGUAACAAAUGGACCAAGAGCUAACACGAAUGACUGCCGAUACUGUUGAGGAUGCAUUUUUGUUGCAGGCUUUUUAACUGGUCUCUUAUUGCUACACAUGUUUUGGGUUUGGUUUGGUUUUUUUUCCUGCUGAGUUUUAUUAAUAUUGUUUUUCUUUUUUCCCUUCUUUUGGUAAAUUUCUUUAACCUUCCCCCACAUUCUGCUCAACCAUAGCCAUGGAGGAUUCAGCCACAGGAAAUCAGCCCUCCUCCUACGGCCAACCUGGACCGUUCCAACGACAAAGUCUAUGAGAAUGUAACUGGGCUGGUGAAAGCGGUCAUAGAAAUGUCCAGUAAAAUACAACCAGCUCCACCAGAG